rnacentral:rRNA from 1 species
CCUACGUGUGGCAGCAGUGGGGAAUAUUGCGCAAUGGGCGAAAGCCUGACGCAGCGACGCCGCGUGAGGGAUGAAGGUCUUCGGAUCGUAAACCUCUGUCAGCAGGGAAGAACGGUCACUGUGAUAAUCAGCAGUGAAUUGACGGUACCUGCAAAGGAAGCACCGGCUAACUCCGUGCCAGCAGCCGCGGUAAUACGGAGGGUGCGAGCGUUAAUCGGAAUUACUGGGCGUAAAGCGCACGUAGGCGGUAUGUCAAGUCAAGGGUGAAAUCCCCGGGCUCAACGUGGGAACUGCCUUUGAUACUGGCAAACUGGAGUGUGUGAGAGGAUAGUGGAAUUCCAGGUGUAGGAGUGAAAUCCGUAGAUAUCUGGAGGAACAUCAGUGGCGAAGGCGACUAUCUGGCACAUAACUGACGCUGAGGAGCGAAAGCGUGGGUAGCAAACAGGAUUAGAUACCCGAGUAGUC